CCCCCACAACACGUAGGCGUCGAAGGGCGUGUCCAGGCAACGAGCGCGCCUCAGAGCCUCACGAUGUCCAAUGAGGACGCAGGAACAGUGCUUGGGGCGGGGCCUGGUGCCAGUUCGAAACGGAGGCGCCGCUGCAGGAAGAUGGCGGCUCGGCCGCGGCGGCAUCGCUCGCGGUAUGCGAAGCUGCCCCGGGGUGACUUUUGUGAGGGCGCUAGGAAGGCGACGGACGAACCUUCCUUAACGACUUCCAUGGAGUGGGACACGCAGGUGGUGAAAGGGUCCUCGCCGCUGGGCCCUGCAGGGCCGGGGGCGGAGGACCUGCCAUCCAGCCCGCGGUUGCCGUCGUGGCUGCAGCCGGAGAGGUGCGCCGUGUUCCAGUGCGCGCAGUGCCACGCCGUGCUGGCUGACUCGGUGCACCUCGCCUGGGACCUGUCGCGGUCCCUCGGGGCCGUGGUCUUCUCCAGAGUCACAAACAACGUGGUUUUGGAAGCUCCCUUCCUAGUUGGCAUUGAAGGUUUACUGAAAGGCAGCACUUACAACCUUUUAUUCUGUAGUUCCUGUGGGAUUCCCAUUGGUUUCCAUCUGUAUUCUACCCAUGCUGCCCUGGCCGCCUUGAGAGGUCACUUCUGCCUUUCCAGCGACAAGAUGCUGUGCUACCUCUUAAAAACAAAAGCAAUAGUGAAUGCAUCUGAGAUGGAUAUUUACAACGUACCUCUACCAGAAAAGGUUGCAGAGAAUGGUGGCCUGAGAAGCUCCAUGGACUCCCCUCCCCAGCAAAACGGCCAUAACUGGAGAAAGUUAUAAAGAAAACAACCAUCUUAAGUAUGUGGAAAUUUUCCUAAAGGCAUAAAGCAAAUGAAGAGACAUUUACUCAAGAAAAUCUCCUAAACCCUGCUGAAGGAGAAGAUAAUGUUAACACAUACUCGCUUAAAUGCACUGAUGACAAUUCUGAAGGAAGUGACUCCCGGCCAGUCCAAGCCAGAAAACUGAUCCGACCAGAGCUUGAGUAUCAGGGUCAGGCUUUCCUGCUGUCUUCAACAACACAUGCUUUUUGAUCAUUUCUCAAGAAAGAUCGACCUCAAGAAUGGAUGGCAAAUGUGGAUUAUUCUGUUUACCUCCGGACUGAUUUUCCAAAUGAUUUGUGAAGCUAUUUCUAGAAGAUGAGAAACUAAGGAGACUUCUGUCCAGGUUUCAUAGCUAUUUGCCUUAAGAACUUAUUGUAGCUUCUUAUCAAGUUUAUAAUACUUAUUUCUGGAAACAUCUUCAACUGCAAAUUUAGGGAUUAAAAGGCAGUGUCCCAUGAGUGCUCUGAUCUGAAGAUGCGUGGUUGGUUUGAAAAGAGUUGUACUUAAUGUUACUACUAUUAUUCCUACAUGGGACAGUUGUUAUAUGAAUACUGAAAAGUCAUUUUUUUUGUAUGUUAAAUACAGGUACAUACAUAUUCUGUAAGUUAAUAUUCAAUAAGUUGACUGGAUAAUAUACAAGUUCUCUUCAGUUGCAAGCUGAGCUUGACAGGGUAUUAAUGAAGCAAUGAUAAAACAUCAAACAUUGAUAGAAAUGCUGUUUUUUCAUAUUUUGCUUUACAUAGCAUUUGGCUCAGUAGCUUAUCAUAUUAUUCAUUUAAUAAAUACAAGGUAUUAUGCUAAGCUGCUGGGGAUAAACGGUAAGCAGAAACAGCCACUCUUCUAUCGUAGUUUAUAAUCUUGUCGGAAAUGGACAUUCAGAUAAGCACCUGAAGACAUGUAAACUUAUGACUGCAGUGAGGGUUUUGAAGAAAAGGGACAUGGAGAUGCAAGCACAGAUAGCACGUAACUGACGUGGUCUGGGGGUCAGGGGAGGCCUCUGAGGAAGGGAAGUUUCAGCGGUGGUGGGAAAGACGAGGAGUUAAUUAGGCGAUGGAGGGAACAGCCUCUGCGCUGUGAGACCCUUAAGAGAAGGCCUGCAGGAGUUGCAACAUUGGUCAGAAACCAGAGCGAGAAGGCCUUACUGGCCUCCUGAAGGAUGUUUCUUUUUAUUCCAAGAACCAUGGGAAGCCCUUGAAGAAUUUUAGAGGAGGAGGCCUAUGACAGGAUCAAAUUUUCUUUUUUCAGAACCUCGUGGUUGUCCUGUGGGGAAUAGGUGGGAGGGGCUGGCACUAGCACAAUCAAGGGAUGAUCUAGUCGAGUGGUGGUGCAGAGAGAAGGCAACUUGGUCCAGGUGAGCUAGCAGAUGUUUUUUAUAGCAGAUUCUUUCCCUUUUAUACUGCAUAAAGAAUAUUUUCCUUUAAAAUAUUUUAAACUGGAGAAAAUUCUGGUUUGCUUAAUGCUUUGGGGUUGCAAAAUUUUGGUCCUGUAAGCAAGGGUGAAGACUCUGGCAACAAACAGUACCAGAAAAGUUCUUAGUUACUUUCUGCUCCUAAAGAAUAGGACUGAAUAAAGUAGUUCUAUAUUGAAUCAUCCACACACAUUUUAUUGUGUGUAGGCAUGUCUGCCUCAACGUAUUUCCUUUCUUUAUCUAAAUUAAAAAACUUAUGUCAAAACAAAACAAAGGCCAGCCCUGGUGGCCUAGUGGUUAAGUUUGGCACACUCCGCUUUGGAGGCCUGGGUUCAGUUCCUGAAUGCAGAACCACACCACUUGUCUGUCAGUGGCCACGCUGUGGCACUGGCUCACAUUUAAAAAAAAAAAAAAAGAGGAAGAUUGGCAACAGAUGUUAACUCAGGGUGAAUCUUCCUCAGCAAAACAAAACAAAAACCUUAUAUAGCUAUUUCCUUUAACCUCUGGAUUUGCCAUUUUGGUAGACUUUCAGUAGAAAAUGAAAUGCUUGAACUUGACAUCAAAUUAAGCUGGCUGGUUCUUUCUUUUCCUUUUUCUCCCCAAAUCCCCCCAGUACAUAGUUGUAUAUUUUCAGUUGUGGGUGCUUCUAGUUCUGGCAUGUGGGAUGCCGCCUCAACAUGGCUUGAUGAGCAGUGCCAUGUCCGUGCCCAGCAUCCGAACAGGCGGAACUCUGGGCUGCCGAAGUGGAGUGUGCAAACCUAACCACUUGGCCACAGGGCCAUGCUGGCUGGUUUUAAAUAGAUUUGUUUUCCUCCAUAGCAUGCUGGGAAGUGAGCAGACACUGGGGCCAAACUAUUUGGAUUCACAUUGUGGCUUGGGUACUUAAUAGCCAUGAACUUGAAGAGUUUACUUAAACUCUUCUUGUGAUAUAAGGAUUAAAAAAUAUCUGGGGCUAGAGUGAGGAUUAAGAGUUCAUGAAUACAUCUGAUGUAAUCAGACCAAUGCUUAGCACGUAAAUGGUGCUCAAUAAAUACUAGCUAUUAUAACCUUCGUGCAGGUGAAUAUACACCUAUAGACAUAAAGGCAAUUAUAGUUUUCAUAUUAUUCUGCAACCUGCUUUUUGCACAAAUGUCAUGGACAACUUUCUAUACUAUACCAGCCCAUACACAAAUUAUUUCAUUUGUUUUAACACCUGCAUAUGAUUCAAUUAUGUGAAUAUAUCAAAAUUUAACCAUUCUUGUAUUGGAUCUUUGUACAUAUCUUUGCAUAUCUGUACCGAUACUUAUGUAGGAGUGAUUCCUAAAGAGGGACAAAGUCAAAGGGCACGUACAUUUACAACUUUGGUAUUGUGCUUUCCAUAAAUAUUAGGCUGAUUGAUACAAAUGGUUGACUUUUACAAGCUUUAGGUGGUAUAAGAGCUCGUCUGGAAGUCUAAGAGACAUCAGUGAGAGACUGGCUGAUAGUAACAGAUUCUAAGACUACUACAGUUUGAUACCAUUUAACAUUGUAUAUGCGUUGAAUAAAAGUAUUUUCAAAAUUCCAUGUAGUUAUAAGAACAAUAAAAUUGCAUAGUAAAUGUC